rnacentral:rRNA from 1 species
GAUGAACGCUGGCGGCGUGCCUAAUACAUGCAAGUCGAGCGAACAGAUGAGGAGCUUGCUCCUCUGACGUUAGCGGCGGACGGGUGAGUAACACGUGGAUAACCUACCUAUAAGACUGGGAUCACUUCGGGAAACCGGAGCUAAUACCGGAUAAUAUAUUGAACCGCAUGGUUCAAUAGUGAAAGACGGUUUUGCUGUCACUUAUAGAUGGAUCCGCGCCGCAUUAGCUAGUUGGUAAGGUAACGGCUUACCAAGGCAACGAUGCGUAGCCGACCUGAGAGGGUGAUCGGCCACACUGGAACUGAGACACGGUCCAGACUCCUACGGGAGGCAGCAGUAGGGAAUCUUCCGCAAUGGGCGAAAGCCUGACGGAGCAACGCCGCGUGUGUGAUGAAGGUCUUCGGAUCGUAAAACUCUGUUAUUAGGGAAGAACAAAUGUGUAAGUAACUAUGCACGUCUUGACGGUACCUAAUCAGAAAGCCACGGCUAACUACGUG